AAUCUAAUUUAAAUUCUCAAACCUCUAAAAUCCAAACCCUAACUCUCUUUCUCUCGUUCAAUUCUCCCGCCCACAGGCCGCCGCCUCGCCUCCCAUCAGUCUGACGCGCCUCCGGCAGUCUCCCCCGGUCCAACGCACCACCGGUCUCCGACCGCCCCGCCUCGGUCUGACUCGAAGCCUCCGUGGCAAGCCAAAAGUAUGCUAUGCCCCGUCGCGCCUCAGUGUGCGACAGCACGGCCCAUCCUUUCCCGUCGUCCCGCCUCACCUCCUCCGGCCUCAGCGGCUCCGUUGGUCCGUCCGGCGACUCCAAAACACCAGCAGUUGCCAACACGGCGAGCCUGUAGGAACUUGGGGUUGAAUAUAACUCAUUAAGAUGCAUUUGACCGAAUGUUUUGAUGGUUUUGGAAGAAUCGACAUUCUGCCUGUAAUCUGAUGCCCAAAGGUACAAAUGGGGUUCUUUCUUGUCUAUGGUAGCUGCACUCAGUAACCCCCCCUCCCCCCCUCUCAGGAAGAUGAAGAUCAUUGGGUUCGAUGAUGAAGUAACCUACUAUCUCUAUGAAAUGCCAGGAGCAGCUACCUCAGAUGUUUUCCAUCUCCGGUAAUAUAUAAAUUAUCAUGGCAUCCUUCAAUCUUGAUUCAAGCUAUAGCUCCAAAUGAAACUUUAAAGAAAUUGGCUUCUGUUUGCUCAAAUUUCAAGCUCCUUAGUAAAGUUCUUUUUUCCAUUUCAACUACUGUAGCAAAGUUCUUGUGUAUUUGCACCAUACUAUACUAGAUUCAUUGACCGCCAGCUAAUGUUCUUUCUUUUGCUGUAUUUAUGUCGACGCACAUGGCCUAUGAAUUGCUUCCUGAGUCUGGAAAGAUUGUUGCCUUUGACGUCGACUUACCCGUAAAGCAAGCAUUUCAUAUUCUGCAUGAGCAGGGUGUAUAUACGGCGCCCUUGUGGGACUUCUCAAAGAGCCGGUUUACCGGAGUUCUCAGUGCACUGGAUUUUAUUUUGAUUAUGAGAGAGAGCAGUUCUCGGCUUUUGGUUUUGUUGAAAUUGGACUAAUUGUUCUGCGGGUGGAGGAAAAUUUGACGAGUA